rnacentral:lncRNA from 1 species
GACUACUGACUUGGACCAGCAGGGGAAUGGCUGUGACAAUAAAUAAGAUUGGGAAAACAAGAAGUCGUUGUCAUGGCGACAUGUUGUUUAGCAUGAGAACAGGAUGAUGAUAAAGCCAGAGGCUCUUCAGAGGCGCCAUCUUGGAUUUCGCCAGCUUCAGCUGGUUUCGUCCUAAGAAGGAACUUCGAAACACAGGCAUUCUUUUUCCUGAAAAUAAGCAGAGUUACAGCUGAGUAGGAAUUUAGCUCUGUCCCAUAUGCUAUCGCAUUGGGCAGCAAAAGCAGGGUGGGGUCCAGCGAAAUCAGCAGGCACUGCAAUGAGUAACAUACCCAGCCACGUUUAUGCAGCAUUUUUACGAAAAUGAAACCAUACUACCUGUAAAGGAAGAUAUGCUAACAAACAACAAAACUGGCAGGAACCAAGAUUCCUACUGACACUACCCUUAGUUUUAAUUUUCCCUGACAACAAAUGAGGUUAACAGAGCAUAAUUAUCUACCGUGACCCCUUCAAAAAGACAGGCUGUAUACAUUUGCACUAAGAGAAGAAAUCGUGUAAUGUCAGCAAAUUUCCCCCACUUAAAGCUUCUCUAUUUAAAAAGCUUCACGCACACAUGCACGCAUAUGUCUUCAAGAUGACCACAAUUUAUUUUGCAGUCAUUCUUUGCACCAGUUCCCAAUUUUUCCCACUAGCUUGCAAGCUCCGUGACUCGAGGAGACCGGGGGAUCAGAGUUUGUUUUUGCGGAGAAGUGAGUCCUUUAUGCCCCAAAUAGUGACUGACAUAGAGAAGGUACUCAGUAAACACUUUUUAAAGGAAUGCCUGCCUGACUGAAGCUUAAUGAUGUGAGGCUUCUAGUGGGAUACCCUACCUUGUUUUAACCUGAAGUGACUCUUCCUUAGCUAAGAGAGCCAGACGGACUCCAUCGUGACUCCUUCACUCGCAGCCCCUUACCCACCCCCUUCCUCAAGGACUUAACUUGUGCAAGCUGACUCCCAGCACAUCAAGAAUGCAAUUAACUGAUAAGAUACUGUGGCAAGCUAUAUCCGCAGUUCCCAGGAAUUCGCCCGGUUAAUAGCACCCAGAGCCCCUGCGUUUGUGUCCGGUUGAUAACGCCCAAAGCCCGGCGUCCAUCACCUUAGGAUAGACUUAAAGCCUCUGCACCUGGAACUGUUUACUUUCCUGUAACCGUUUAUCCUUUUAACUUUUUGCCUACUUUACUUCUGUAAGAUUGUUUCAACUAGACUCCCCCUCUCCCCUGUCUAAACCAAAGUAUAAAAGAAAAUCUAGCUCCUUCUUCGGGGCCAAGAGAAUUUCGAGCGCUAGCUGUCUCUCGGCUGCCGGCUAAUAAAGGACUCCUGAAUUCGUCUC